rnacentral:rRNA from 1 species
GGCGGCGUGCUUAACACAUGCCAGUCGAACGGACAGGCCCUGCUUUUGUGGGGUGCUCGAGUGGCGAACGGGUGAGUAACACGUGAGUAACCUGCCCUUGACUUUGGGAUAACUUCAGGAAACUGGGGCUAAUACCGGAUAGGAGCUCCUGCUGCAUGGUGGGGGUUGGAAAGUUUCGGCGGUUGGGGAUGGACUCGCGGCUUAUCAGCUUGUUGGUGGGGUAGUGGCUUACCAAGGCUUUGACGGGUAGCCGGCCUGAGAGGGUGACCGGCCACAUUGGGACUGAGAUACGGCCCAGACUCCUACGGGAGGCAGCAGUGGGGAAUAUUGCACAAUGGGCGGAAGCCUGAUGCAGCAACGCCGCGUGCGGGAUGACGGCCUUCGGGUUGUAAACCGCUUUCGCCUGUGACGAAGCGUGAGUGACGGUAAUGGGUAAAGAAGCACCGGCUAACUACGUG